AGCGUCGGGCCCAUACCCGGCCGUCGCCGGCAACGCGAGCCCGCGGGGGCUACGCGGCGACGAGUAGGAGGGCCGCCGCGGUGGGCAUUGAAGCCUAGGGCGCGGGCCCGGGUGGAGNCCGCCGCG
rnacentral:rRNA from 1 species